CCUACGGGUGGCAGCAGUGAGGAAUAUUGGUCAAUGGACGAGAGUCUGAACCAGCCAAGUAGCGUGAAGGAUGACUGCCCUAUGGGUUGUAAACUUCUUUUAUAUGGGAAUAAAAUGUUCCACGUGUGGGAUUUUGUAUGUACCAUAUGAAUAAGGAUCGGCUAACUCCGUGCCAGCAGCCGCGGUAAUACGGAGGAUCCGAGCGUUAUCCGGUUUUAUUGGGUUUAAAGGGAGCGUAGGUGGAUUGUUAAGUCAGUUGUGAAAGUUUGCGGCUCAACCGUAAAAUUGCAGUUGAAACUGGCAGUCUUGAGUACAGUAGAGGUGGGCGGAAUUCGUGGUGUAGCGGUGAAAUGCUUAGAGAUCACGAAGAACUCCGAUUGCGAAGGCAGUUCACUGGACUGCAACUGACACUGAGGCUCGAAAGUGUGGGUAUCAAACAGGAUUAGAUACCCUUGUAGUC
rnacentral:rRNA from 1 species